UGCGUAGGCGGAAUGAUUAGUCAGUGGUGAAAUCCCCCGGCUCAACCGGGGAACUGCCAUUGAUACUGUCAUUCUUGAGUACACUUGAAGUGGGCGGAAUGUAUCAUGUAGCGGUGAAAUGCAUAGAUAUGAUACAGAACACCGAUAGCGAAGGCAGCUCACUAAAUUGUAACUGACGCUAAGGCACGAAAGCGUGGGGAGCAAACAGGAUUAGAUACCCUGGUAGUCC
rnacentral:rRNA from 1 species